rnacentral:rRNA from 1 species
AGUAGCACGUGGAUAACCUACCUAUAAGACUGGGAUAACUUCGGGAAACCGGAGCUAAUACCGGAUAAUAUUUUGAACCGCAUGGUUCAAAAGUGAAAGACGGUCUUGCUGUCACUUAUAGAUGGAUCCGCGCUGCAUUAGCUAGUUGGUAAGGUAACGGCUUACCAAGGCAACGAUGCAUAGCCGACCUGAGAGGGUGAUCGGCCACACUGGAACUGAGACACGGUCCAG